UUGGGUUGUAAACCCCUUUUCUCAGGGAAGAAGAAAGUGACGGUACCUGAGGAAUCAGCCUCGGCUAACUCCGUGCCAGCAGCCGCGGUAAUACGGAGGAGGCAAGCGUUAUCCGGAAUGAUUGGGCGUAAAGCGUCCGUAGGUGGCCACUCAAGUCUGCUGUCAAAUCCUGAGGCUCAACCUCAGAUCGGCAGUGGAAACUGAGUAGCUUGAGUGCGGUAGGGGCAGAGGGAAUUCCCGGUGUAGCGGUGAAAUGCGUAGAGAUCGGGAAGAACACCGGUGGCGAAAGCGCUCUGCUGGGCCGCAACUGACACUGAGGGACGAAAGCUAGGGGAGCGAAUGGGAUUAGAUACCCCAGUAGUCCUAGCCGUAAACGAUGGAAACUAGGUGUUGCCUGUAUCGACCCGGGCAGUGCCGUAGCUAACGCGUUAAGUUUCCCGCCUGGGGAGUACGCACGCAAGUGUGAAACUCAAAGGAAUUGACGGGGGCCCGCACAAGCGGUGGAGUAUGUGGUUUAAUUCGAUGCAACGCGAAGAACCUUACCAGGGCUUGACAUGUCCGGAAGCCUGGGGAAACCCGGGUGUGCCUUCGGGAACCGGAACACAGGUGGUGCAUGGCUGUCGUCAGCUCGUGUCGUGAGAUGUUGGGUUAAGUCCCGCAACGAGCGCAACCCUCGUUCUUAGUUGCCAGCAUUAAGUUGGGCACUCUAAGGAGACUGCCGGUGACAAACCGGAGGAAGGUGGGGA
rnacentral:rRNA from 2 species